ACGCUGGCUACAGGCUUAACACAUGCAAGUCGAGGGGAAACGACGGGGAAGCUUGCUUCCCCGGGCGUCGACCGGCGCACGGGUGAGUAACGCGUAUCCAACCUGCCUCUGACUGAGGGAUAACCCGUCGAAAGUCGGCCUAAUACCUCAUGGCAUCGUCUGCGGGCAUCCAACGACGAUUAAAGAUUUCAUCGGUCAGGGAUGGGGAUGCGUCUGAUUAGCUUGUUGGCGGGGUAACGGCCCACCAAGGCGACGAUCAGUAGGGGUUCUGAGAGGAAGGUCCCCCACAUUGGAACUGAGACACGGUCCAAACUCCUACGGGAGGCAGCAGUGAGGAAUAUUGGUCAAUGGGCGAGAGCCUGAACCAGCCAAGUAGCGUGCAGGAUGACGGCCCUAUGGGUUGUAAACUGCUUUUAUGCGGGGAUAAAGUGAGGGACGUGUCCUUCAUUGCAGGUACCGCAUGAAUAAGGACCGGCUAAUUCCGUGCCAGCAGCCGCGGUAAUACGGAAGGUCCGGGCGUUAUCCGGAUUUAUUGGGUUUAAAGGGAGCGUAGGCCGUGGAUUAAGCGUGUUGUGAAAUGCAGGUGCUCAACGUCUGCACUGCAGCGCGAACUGGUCCACUUGAGUGUGCGCAACGCAGGCGGAAUUCGUCGUGUAGCGGUGAAAUGCUUAGAUAUGACGAAGAACUCCGAUUGCGAAGGCAGCUUGCGGGAGCACAACUGACGCUGAAGCUCGAAAGUGCGGGUAUCGAACAGGAUUAGAUACCCUGGUAGUCCGCACGGUAAACGAUGGAUGCCCGUUGUCAGGCUGUUUCAGCCUGGUGACCAAGCGAAAGCAUUAAGCAUCCCACCUGGGGAGUACGCCGGCAACGGUGAAACUCAAAGGAAUUGACGGGGGCCCGCACAAGCGGA
rnacentral:rRNA from 1 species